AUGGCGUCCUCCGCCGCGGCGGCGAGGCUGCGGGAGCUAGCGCCCGGGCCGGGUGCGGGGAUCUCAGCAACCGAAGCCGCCGCCCUCGCCGAGUGCUGUGCGGGCCUCCUCGGCUGCGGAGACGCCGGGGCAGCGUGCUCGGCGCUCGACGCGCUGUGCGCCGCUGGAGGGGACGCGAUGCGGCGCCACGUCGACGAGCUCACGCCGCUGGUCGUCGGGCGGCUCGGGGACGGCGACGCGGCCGUGCGGGAGGCCUCCAGGAGGUUCCUCGUGCUGCUCAUGGAGAUGAAGGAGAUGAAUGCAAGGUCAGAAAAUAUAGAAACAGGUUCUAGCAUACCAGAUGUCCACCGCACUAGUUGUACAACAACCGAAGCUGAAUCUUUUGGUACCAAUCAAGUAAAGAAAAGUUCGAAACAAAGGAUCAGCACAAGAGAUAUGUCCCUUCUAGCAGGGGAAGAAGAUAUUACAAGGAAAUCAGUUGAACCUAUAAAAGUAUUCUCUGAAAAAGAUCUGAUAAAGGAAAUGGGAAAAGUAAUGUCUACUUUACAGCCAGAUAAUGAGUGGUUAAUCCGGAUAACUGCGAUGCAAAGAGUUGAAGGCAUAGUUCUUGGAGGUGCCGCGGAUUAUUCAGCCUUCCCCACGCUUCUAAAACAACUCGUGGCCCCUCUUAUAACCCAGCUUCUGGACAGGAGAUCUAGUGUUGUAAAGCAGGCAUGCCAUUUGCUAAUUUUCCUAUCAAAGGAGCUACUGCGUGACUUCGAACCAUGUGCUGAAUUGCUUAUUCCGGCCCUUCUUAAGAAUGUCGUGAUCACCGUUCUUGUAAUUGCCGAGUCGGCUGAUAAUUGUAUAAAAGAGAUGCUACGAAACUGCAAAGUAGCUCGCAUUCUACCAAGAAUUAUUGAAUUCGCAAAAAAUGACAGAAGCGCAGUUCUUCGUGGCAGGUGUUGUGAGUAUGCAAUACUGAUGCUAGAGUAUUGGGUUGAUACUCCCGAACUACAGAGAUCAGCGAAUCUGUAUGAAGAACUCAUAAAGUGUUGCAUAGGAGAUGCAACUAGUGAGGUUCGAUCGGGUGCUAGGGCAUGCUACAGGAUAUUCUCCAGAAUUUGGCCGGAACAUUCUCAUCAGCUCUUCUCAUCAUUUGAACCAUCCAGGCAGAAAAUGAUAAUUGAUGAUGAUGCUGAGACACAUCAAAAGCAGUUGUCUCCAAUAGAAGGAAUUAAGCUCGGGCAACCUCAGUUUGUUCCUUGCAUUCCAACUGUAAUGGACAAGGUUGUCAUGGUUGAUUCUCAGACAUCACUUUCUUCUGGAGACCUGCAAUCAGCACUGGCGAAAAUAUCUCUUCAGCAUUCUCAUAUGACCCCUCAAGUUCCAGCAGAAGAUAGUAAAGAUGGUUUAGCUAUUGGAAGCUCAUUUGAGGAUAUGAGCACAUUAGAAGAAGAAAGAAUUCCAGUUCCAGACCCUGAUGAACGCGUUUCAGACCAAAAUGCAGGUAUCAGUUCAUCAUCCCGUGAUUUUCCUUCUGCCACUCCAUUUGAACCAACUCCAGACAUUUUAUUGUCAGAAGCAACUGUCAUAGCAACUUUCCAAGACAAGGCCGAGUGCAGGCCGGAGGUUGAACAUACAACCUCUUGUAAAGUUCAAGCACCAGGGGAUCCUUCUGAGAUGUUGAGCCGCACUCCUGCUAGUCCGGAGGAGUCAGGAAACUUGCUAAACCAAAGGCCCACUAAAUCCAGCUCUAAUGGAAUAUCAGGUGGAACAUUAAGGACCCAACAAGAAGAGAGACCUUGUGUCAGAACUCCUCGUAAGAGUGUAGUUCCGAAGCAGUCACCGAAUAACCACACUCCUAACUUCCGGCGACCUCUCCUGAGUAAGGUGAUGACAAACUGGUUCUAUGCUAGUACAAGAGGUGAUUUAGAUGGUAAACAGCUAAUUAUUGGUGAAAUGGCCAAUAGCAUGGAUGUGCCCUCAUCUCUCACUGGGGCACUUUCUUUAGGCCUUAACCCCAAGUCAGAUUGGAUGAUGAGGGUAUAUGCAUUCAAUUUCUUGCGCCAACACUUGCAAGAGCGAGGACCAAAAGGCAUUCAGGAGGUUGCACAAAAUUUUGAGAAGGUUAUGAGGCUUGUUAGUCAGUAUUUGGAUGAUCCACACCAUAAAGUGGCACAUGCUGCUCUCUCAUCACUUGCUGAGAUCAUGCCGGUUUUCAAGAAGCCUUUUGAACAUUAUCUGGACAAGAUGUUGCCCCAUGUUUUCUCUCGAUUAAAUGAUCCAAAGGAGUCAACCAAGCAGCAGUGCUUAGCAGUUUUGAAACUUGCAGGUGAGAGUUACUCCAUUGAUUCUCUCUUACCUGCUCUGCUUCGUUCGCUAGACGAGCAAAAAUCCCCCAAGUCAAAGCUUGCAAUUCUUGACUUUGCAAAGGCCUCUUUUGUGAAAUGCACAGUUAAUUCUGACAUCUAUUCUGGUAGCAGUUUUCUUAAGCCGUGGCUUGGGAAGCUAACUCUUCUGUUUAAGGAUAGAAACAAGAAGCUAAAAGAGGCUGCCGUGGUUGGUUUAUCUUCAGUCUAUUGUCAUUAUGAUCCGGAAACCAUGUUAAGCUUUAUAGUUACCUUGUCAAUGGAAGAACAGAAGCAACUUACGCGGGCAAUAAAGCAGUUAAUCCCUAUGAUAGGGAGCGACCUGGAAGAGUUCUUGCAGCAAAGGAGACAUAAACAGAAAGUGUCGUCUUUUGAUCGCUUUGCUGCUACAGAUCCUCAUCCCAGAAGUUAUGUCGGAAGGCAACAUAAAUCCCAGGAGCAUGACACAUAUCAAUCCAGUGAUGUCAGAGGUGAUCAAGUAUUUAGCUCGGCAUUUCAGUAUCUCCCGAGCACUCACUUGGAAGUCUUUGGGCGUCGUACCACGAAGGUUCAAUCUGAAUUGGGUAGUGAAUCUUAUGGUCACAGAGCUGAAACGAUGGGUAAAAAGUUUAGUCCUGCAAGGCGAAGCAAGGAUAUGAUGAUGAAUGGUAGUCAGAGCCACGAGCCAAGCAUUUCCAAGAUGCAUCAUCAGAAUUCACAUCAGAUGUCCUCUUCUAUUCUUGUGAUGCUUGAUGACCCGGAUGAAUCCACCAGAGAGCUUGCACUUUCUCUAUUGGUUGGAAUUCUUGAAAAACAAGAAAGGGCCCUGGAGAAUUGUUUCGAGACUCUUGUAGUUAAAUUGCUGCAUGCAACCAAAGAUGCUGCCUUGAAGGUAGUAAAUCUGGCACAUAUCUGUCUGACAACCGUGGUUACUCAAUUUGAUCCACUGCGAUGCCUUCGGGCAAUUGCUUCUCAAUUGGUCUCCCACGAUGAGAAAAUCCUUAUUGUCAGCAUCAACAGUCUGAGCAAGCUUGUGAUGCGGCUGUCACACGACGACCUCAUGACUCAUCUGUCAACAUUCCUACCUGCGGUCUUGGACGCCUUCGAAAACCACAGUCCAUAUGUUCGCAAGGCUAUUUUGUUGUGCCUGGUGGAUACGUUCCUGAAGCUGGGGCCGGCGGUGGCGCCGCACCUGGAGCGGCUGGGCGGCCCGCAGCUGCUGCAGCUCGUGGUCACCACAUCGGCGAGCAGACUGUCCAGGGCGGGCGUCUGA
rnacentral:rRNA from 1 species